rnacentral:sRNA from 1 species
ACUGAGGACGCCUGAGUAGAGCAGCUAUUGCGCCGUCCGCACCCACCUGACGACUGCUCGCUACGUUUUGUUAGCC